rnacentral:rRNA from 1 species
AUUGAACGCUGGCGGCAGGCCUAACACAUGCAAGUCGAACGAGUGGCGGACGGGUGAGUAAUGUCUGGGAAACUGCCUGAUGGAGGGGGAUAACUACUGGAAACGGUAGCUAAUACCGCAUACCAUCAGAUGUGCCCAGAUGGGAGUAGCUUGUUGGUGGGGUAACGGCUCACCAAGGCGCCGAUCCCUAACUGGUCUGAGAGGAUGACCAGCCACACGGGAACGGAGAAACGGUCCAGACUCGUACGGAAGGCAGCAGUGGGGAAUAUUGCACAAGGGGAGCAAGCCUGAUGCAGCAAGGCCGCGUGUAUGAAGAAGGCCUUCGGGUUGUAAAGUACUUUCAGAGGGGAGGCGUUACCCGAAGAAGAAGCACCGGCUAACUCCGUGCCAGCCGCCGCGGUAAUAC